UACGAGGGGGGCGAGCGUUUGUUCGGAAUUACUGGGCGUAAAGGGCGCGUAGGCGGAUGUUUAAGUCAGAGGUGAAAGCCCAGGGCUCAACCUUGGAACUGCCUUUGAUACUGGGCAUCUUGAGUAUGGGAGAGGUGAGUGGAACUCCGAGUGUAGAGGUGAAAUUCGUAGAUAUUCGGAAGAACACCAGUGGCGAAGGCGACUCACUGGCCCAUUACUGACGCUGAGGCGCGAAAGCGUGGGGAGCAAACAGG
rnacentral:rRNA from 1 species